ACUGAUAGUUCAAGUGGGAUGUGAUGCUGUCUGUAUAUCCAUUUGCGGCAGUUGAGGGCCUGUAUUUCUCUGACACUGUCAGUGUUGGCAAAAAUCCAUCACUCUGUAUGCUGCUGUCCAUUUCUGGGUACUUUCCAACUGAGGAAAAAGAAAAUAGAAAAUUAUCUAUCAGUGAUUGGCUGAACAUCUCAAUAAUUUGUGUCCUUUUUGAACUAAAAAUAUUUUAAACUUUUUAAUAACAUAAUAUGAAUAACGUUCACAUAUAUUCAGAAGUAAUGUCUGCUGACAAUUCAGCAUUGCCAUCACAGGUCCUUGAUUCUGAUUGGUUGAGCCAAGUUCGAAGUUGUUGUAAAUUACUCUACAAACACACACCUUUGUUUACAUUUGUGUGUUGCUCGGCAACCGCUUUGUUGGAACCACAACCGCUUCUGAGGCCCCGUUUACACUAGUGCGUUUUCGUUUUAAAACGCAUAAGGUUUGCUACAGUUAUGCCUAUCAUUUACACUACUCCGGCGUUUUCGGAGACUUUUGAAAACGCUGCCGACCCCGUUUUAGUUUGAAAGCUCCAGGGUAGAGUUUCAGUGUAAACGGACCAAAACGGAGACUUUUGAAAACGAUGGUGUGGCUGCCCACAUUCUCUCUGUGUAUCCUUGACGACCGUGUAAACAAUAACAUCAUGCUCGUUGUUGUACCCCAUAGAAAUGUAUAGAGUCCCCAUUCGACCAUAGACAUAAUAAAUACCUAGACGCCUCAUUGGCCGCUCGACCGCACGUCAACGGCGCCGCCAUAUUGGUGCGGGCAACUCUCCAGAACUCUCAUACCGGGACAGAAGAAAACAUACCUGACUCAGCGGCAGCUUGGGCAUCUACAGACCGUCGCACAUUAAUAACAACAGAUCUCGGGGUAUUAUCUUUCACAGCCAACUGCAAACAGGACAAAGCAAGCCUUAAGGAAAGCUGAAGAAAGCAUGUUUCCUGCAUUUCCUAGAGACUAGGCUACACCUCCACAGCCUAAUGUUGUAUUUGUACUCGUUAAAACCCAGAAUAGCCCUGAAUGAAUGGCCAGAAUGACCCUGAUCAUAUUCAAACCACUCUCUCUCCCCGGAACAGACUUCCAGGAGCAUUUUUUAACCUUUGUAAGGGUAACUUUUAUAACAAUAUAAUUACCUUAUUAAAUGUUUCUGUUAUUUUUGUCAAAUAUUUAAAAAUAACCAGUUUUUCAGUCAAUCACAAUACUAUAGACUGCAUUUUAAAUUAUUUACACAGGCUGUUUAAUGCUGAUCAUGUACUGUAUGUGCAUUUACACAAAAACUGCAUAAUGUAAAUAGCCUAGAAAUGAGAAACACAGGAUCUCCUUAGUGAGUGAAGCUGCAAUAUCAUGACAAAAUCAUUGUUUAUUAUUGCUCUUUAUGUUGUAAUAAUGAUUAUUAAUUUUGAUUUAUAGAAAGUUUUUUUUUGGGGGCAUGUCAUAAUCUGGUCUGUGUUAAACAUAACUAUACUUUGACAUUUUGUUGUACAACGUAAACUGCACACACUCACAUCCCAAACAUUCCUAUGUAGUAACAUAUAUUGAAAAAUAAACGACUGCUUCAAAAUGUGUUUUCUGCAUGGAUGUGUGUAAUUUGCAUUGUAGAGCAAAAUGUCAAGCUUUGUCAAGUUGUUUACAUUAUUUUACUCAUUCAUUGAAAAACCUCAUUAGAAAAUAUAGGAAAAUCUUGAGGGAAGCAGUGGAGAAUUAGUCUUUAUUAGUCGGGUUUUGUUGUCACAAUUAAUAUAUAUAUAUAUAUAUAUAUAUAUAUAUAUAUAUAUAUAUAUAUAUA